GCCAAUGUUGCAACAACAGCGUCUUUUGCCAAUCUGAGGGCUGAUGCAAGAGGAGAAGAUGGGCUGGGGUUUUUAAAGGGGUAAACCGUAGCUGGCUCAGCUCUGGGGAUUUUCUGCUACCUGAGGCAAUUUUUUUUUGUUUGUGAGCAAGCAGAGGUUAAGCGAGAUUCCCAAGGCAGAAAGAGUAUCUGGUAGAUAUUUUAGGAUAACAAUUGCACAAUAAGGGAAAGGGGAAACAAUUUUGGGAAAUGAGUCAGGUGACUCUGAGGUCAGUUUUCUCUUCAGAUUGAAGUCAAGACUCAACUGCUAAUGGGGCUGACUUUGGGGUAAUAAUCUAGACCAUCCUGUGGCUAACAGUCCUUAAGGAUUCCAACCCAUGAAUGGUGCCAUCCACAUUUAGACAUCAGUCUACGAACUCUCUCACAGAUGCAGCCACAGAUUGGCUCAAAAUGGCCUGCUGUGCCUGCUUUAUGGUAAGUAAUGACAACACAGAUAAUGGCUGUCAAGUGCUUACCGUGUUGGACACAUAUACC
rnacentral:sRNA from 1 species